GCCUGUGUGGCAUAGUGGUAUGAGUGAUGGACUGUAACUCCGGAGACCAGGGUUCGAAUCCCACUCUGCCA